rnacentral:rRNA from 1 species
GUGGCUUAGAUACCCUAGUAGUCCACGCCGUAAACGAUGGAUACUCGCUGUGGGCGAUACACAGUCCGCGGCUUAGCGAAAGCGUUAAGUAUCCCACCUGGGGAGUACGCCGGCAACGGUGAAACUCAAAGGAAUUGACGGGGGCCCGCACAAGUGGUGGAGCAUGUGGUUUAAUUCGAUGAUACGCGAGGAACCUUACCGAGGCUAGAAUGCGCGUGACCGGUUCAGAGAUGGACCUUUCCUUCGGGACACAAAGCAAGGUGCUGCACGGCCGUCGUCAACU